rnacentral:rRNA from 1 species
UAGAUCUCAGAAUUCGGCUUAGAGUUUGAUCCUGGCUCAGAACGAACGCUGGCGGCGUGCCUAACACAUGCAAGUCGAACGUGAUUGAGGGGCUUGCUCCUCAUGAAAGUGGCGCACGGGUGAGUAACGCGUAGAUAAUCUGCCUGGUGAUUUGGGAUAACACUUCAAAAGGGGUGCUAAUACCGGAUAAGCCUACGGAGUCCUUGGACUCUGCGGAAUAAGGAGGGGACCUUCGGGCCUUCCGUCAUCAUAUGAGUCUGCGUACCAUUAGCUAGUUGGUAGGGUAAAGGCCUACCAAGGCGCCGAUGGUUAGCUGGUCUGAGAGUAUGAUCAGCCACACUGGAACUGAGACACGGCCCAGACUCCUACGAGAGCCAGCAGUGGGGAAUUUUGGACAAUGGGCGCAAGCCUGAUCCAGCAAUACCGCGUGCAGCAAGAAGGCCUUCGGGUCGUAAACUGCUUUUGGACGGAACGAUAACGGUCUGGGUUAAUACCUCGGGCUAAUGACGGGACCGUAAGAAUAAGCACCGGCGAACUACGUGUCAGCC